UACGGGGGGGCAAGCGUUGUUCGGAAUUACUGGGCGUAAAGGCUCGUAGGUGGCCAACUAAGUCAGACGUGAAAUCCCUCGGCUUAACCGGGGAACUGCGUCUGAUACUGGAUGGCUUGAGUUUGGGAGAGGGAUGCGGAAUUCCAGGUGUAGCGGUGAAAUGCGUAGAUAUCUGGAGGAACACCGGUGGCGAAGGCGGCAUCCUGGACCAACACUGACACUGAGGAGCGAAAAGCCAGGGGAGCAAACGGGG
rnacentral:rRNA from 1 species